CUCCUUAAGCGAAAAAGUUUCAUCGCCAACUGCCACUUUUUGUAGAGCGGUAGCCUGACGGACCGUUCUUUCGUAUAAGCAAAUGAAAAAUGGCGUUGAGCCAAGAUGGCCCAAGUCGACGAGAGAUCUCGCGGGACCACUUAUCUGCACCGUGUCUGGUCCACCAACCGUAGAUAAGGCGACCCUGUGGUCAUUAUCAACCCACUCGCAACCCUCCCCCGCCGCCGCCCUCAGCUUCCAACUCCUCUGGGCAGCGAGUUAAUUACUCCGGAAUUCCGUACGUCUCUGGAUUUCCCACGAAUCCCUUCCGUUGCAUUUUCUUCUUAGGAAGACCUUUCCCUUGUAUCGAAAAUCCUAACUAGACGUCAAUGCUCUUUACCCUUUCAGCGAAGAACGAAGGAAUUUACUAACUCGUUCCAUCGCGUAGUUCUUUCAGCACUUCGCUCGGCCAUAGGAAGCCGAGCUGAUUUAUUGUUUAACGAGCAAUCUGUUCCGCGAACGCUUCCAAGACCAAAGUAAACGUUACAGAGGGGGAAAAAUGGACGGGGUGAGAUGCUCUCCAUUGGAUGAUCGACUUGGUUAAACGAUACAGGGUGCACUCGAUCGGGCAGUUUGUCUAGCGAUAGCCAAUCGCGGUUGGAGAAAGUGGAUAUAACGGAACCAAUAAUGAGCCGUGACCAGCGGCUGUGAUCCAUCAAUCUGGAUCAGCCGGCUCAAACGACCCCUAGCAACGCAUCGGGGGCAGCAAACAAUUAGAACAGCUCUAAUGCCCAUACCCCUGCUUACAAGGGAACACUUGCAAACUGUCGGGCUCCAAGUUCGAUCAAACUUUCCGCAAACUCUGUUCGGAUCGAUGUAAGAACUGUGCUGUGUUUGCUUGCUGCUACUUUCGACUUUAACAGAUAGGAAGACUUGAAGGACACAUACUCCAUAAUAUCUGAAUAAAUUAUGUCACGACGAACAUUUGAAGAAACCUGGGUACCAGUAAUAAAAAUUUCCUCGAAAGGGGAGUUCACGGCGCAAUGGAACUCUGCCAGAUGAGGGAAACGAAGGAAACCGUCUGGAAGUUUGUCCACGACUCGCGAAAGUCCUGUCGACGAUGGAGUGUUCUGUUCUACGUGCACGUCGAUUGUAGCCUCGACUUUUAUGCACGAGCUAGUUGUAACGAUCAGCGAUUCAUAAAAGUUCCGAGGAACGGUAGAACGCGGAAUACAGAUCGCUAUGUUGCGUCGGAUGGAACGAUCGAUAAACAGAAAAAGCUGGGAACGUUGUUGCAGAAUUUUCCCGAUUACUCCUGGAAUAUACAGCAAAACAAAGGUUAACAUACAUACAGAAUUGUUUAAAGAAUUGAAGAGGAUGAAUGCUUGCCUUAUAAAAGAGUAGGAUAAUAAAUUUUGCGACUCUUCUGAUGAAUCACCCAUACAUGUAAGUAAAAUAGAGGCCAGCGUGCACACAUGCGCACUUCCGUACACACAGAAUUUAGUAACACGGUCACUGAGUAAUUCGUCACAGUUCGCCAAGUUCCUCGUGCGAAAGUUGCGCCUCGAUUGUCCGCCAACUAAUUUCGGCUGUAAUUCGCUCUGGGAAUGCAGGAAUGCGGAUCGGCCUCCACGCGUUUGGGAAAAAGGAAGAAAAAUUAGCGGAGGCAACAUUCUAACGUUUAAAUACCUUCAUCGAACAUCGUCCAACAAAACACCUAAACACAGGGAGAUGAACUUCUACCACUUGCACAACGAACCCCUCAAUUAUGGUAUAAUUUUGUUCGCAAUGCAAUUUGCGUUGGACGUGGAACAACGAAAUAAAUUUUGGGGAGUGGAACAACUUCGCCAUCGACCUGGACUCGUGUAGUCCUCGACGUGUCGAAAACCGGAAGUCACCAGCUGAACGCGAACUCCAAGCGAGCGUGGAGCAAUAGCUGGGAACCGCUCGCACCGUCCUCUUUAUUAAAUUUAUGGAAACUUCGCGUGCAUUUAUCGAAAGGGUCGGCGUGAAUGCGCGUCGUCGUCGUACGGUGUCCUGAUGCAACUCGAGCGUCGCAACUGGGCUAAUCGAAUCACGACCCGCGUACAGCCGCUAACUAAGCUUUUCUGUGCGCGCUCGGGUGGUGCAUUAAUUGGACCGAGUUUCUAUUUCGUUUGGUAGCCGUGUUUGUCAGUCGUCAAAGGGUCGGAAGAAAACCUCUGGCGAGUGUAUAAAAGGCGAAAAAAAAGGGACGGCUUUUUUUCGCGGGUGAAAAAGAUGGUCUUUAAAAGGACCUUUUUGAAAUUCGCGAGCUUUUCCUUUGAUUGAACGUCUACAGUUCUCGGGAGAAAGGAUGGAAGAAGUAGUUCUGAACGAAGAAAAUUGGUGUGGUUGGGAAAUUAUACCGAAAUCUCUGGUGCUCCUGCGUUAUCAGACUUGGAAUAUUUUUUGGGUAGAUAAUUAACACCGUCAGUGCCAGACAUACUCGUGAAAACAUUUACAAAGCUACAAUUAUGUUUUUAUACAAUUUGGAACUCUAUGAUUUAA